rnacentral:SRP_RNA from 1 species
GGCGUUUACCAGGUCAGGUCCGGAAGGAAGCAGCCAAGGCGCC